rnacentral:lncRNA from 14 species
CCUGGCCCUGGGGUUUAAAGGUAACCUCCAGAUCUCUGCAAACCUAAGCGUCCACGGUGAUUGACUGAUGCCACAUCUACUGGAUGAUAGAAACAUAGUCUUCAGGAUUGACUUACUGAAGAGCCAUGAGUAUGCCCCGUUAAUUACUG